rnacentral:rRNA from 1 species
AGGACGAACGCUGGCGGCGUGCUUAACACAUGCAAGUCGAGCGGAAAGGCCCUUCGGGGUACUCGAGCGGCGAACGGGUGAGUAACAUGUGAGCAACCUGCCCUUAGCUUCGGGAUAGCUCCGGGAAACCGGAAUUAAUACCGAAUAUGACUUUGGCUGACAUCAGCAGAAGUGGAAAGUUUUUCGGCUAGGGAUGGACUCGCGGCCUAUCAGCUAGUUGGUGAGGUAACGGCCCACCAAGGCGACGACGGGUA